UAGGGAAUAUUGGACAAUGGGCGCAAGCCUGAUCCAGCCAUGCCGCGUGAGUGAAGAAGGCCCUCGGGUUGUAAAGCUCUUUUGUCCGGAAAGAAAAGCAUCGGGUUAAUACCCCGGUGUUCUGCCGGUACCGGAAGAAUAAGCACCGGCUAACUUCGUGCCAGCAGCCGCGGUAAUACGAAGGGUGCAAGCGUUGCUCGGAAUUACUGAGCGUAAAGCGUGCGUAGGUGGUUCGUUAAGUCUGAUGUGAAAGCCCUGGGCUCAACCUGGGAAUGGCAUCGGAAACUGGCGGACUGGAGUGCGGUAGAGGGUAGCGGAAUUCCCGGUGUAGCAGUGAAAUGCGUAGAGAUCGGGAGGAACAUCCGUGGCGAAGGCGGCUACCUGGACCAGCACUGACACUGAGGCACGAAAGCGUGGGGAGCAAACA
rnacentral:rRNA from 1 species